CCCCAAUUGUUGACCGAUAAAUUCAAAUAUCAGAAAUGAAGGAUAUAUAGAUAUCCGAGGCAGGCUCUAAUAUAAGAAGUUAAUACACUUUCAUUAGCUCUAUCAAUACCCUACUCGCAUGAGUUUUGUAAAUAAGCAAUUGAAGCCAUUUUUUAAGAAUUUUAUUUUGGAAAUGAUUUAGUUCAGCAUCCAUAUGCAUGAUUGUUGAUAGUAUAAAAGACAAGUCAUGAAAAGACAGACAUUUGAUAGGUAGUCUAGGGGAGUUGAAAGGCGGGAAUGGCCAAGAUUCAUCUCAGAUACAAUACAAAUAGAAUCCGAGUAAUACUUAUAUUCUUGAGAACCAAAUGAUAUCACGUACAGUUAUUGCUCUGAAAGAUUAAAGCGAAAGGGAAAAGAAAAGAGAGGUUAGUUGCACAUCAGAGAAGGUGAAUAUUAGUAGUUUUUAUUUGAUUAAAAACUGUAACAAGCAUUAAUAGAAUUCUUGGAUUUAAAGAUUGUUCAAUUAUUUGGCUAUUGCCACCAUGUAAUUUUAAGACACGUAUUUCCUUCUGAACAAGUACUUCAAAGAUAUCAAGAUCGUAGAUUUAUAUCGGUUAAUUUUUACAACCGUAAAUUUUAACUGGUGAACAGAAAAGGAAUGAGGAAAGAAACCAUCUUCAUUGUCAUUUA